rnacentral:rRNA from 1 species
GACGAACGCUGGCGGCGUGCUUAACACAUGCAAGUCGAACGGACAGGCCCUGCUCUUGCUGGUUGCUCGAUUGGCGAACGGGUGAGUAACACGUGUGUAACCUGCCCUUGUCUUUGGGAUAUCUCCUGGAAACUCGGGCUCAUAUCGGAUAUGAGCUCCUGAUGCACGGUGGUGGUUGGAAAGUUUCGGCGGUUGGGGAUCGACUCGCGGCUUAUCCGCCUGGUGGUGUGGUAGUGGCUUACCAAGCCUGUGACGGAUAGCCUGCCUGAGAGGGUUGCCGGGCACAUUAGGACUACGGUACGGACCAGAAGCCAACGGGAGGCAACAGUGGAGAGUAUGGCACAGUAAGCGGAAGCCAGAUACAGCAGCGCCGGGUGCGGGAUGACGGCUUUCGGGGUGUAAACCGAUGUCGACUGUGACGUAGCGUGAGUGACGGUAAUGAAUAAAGAAGCAACGGCUAACUACGUG